rnacentral:tRNA from 1 species
GUCAGGAUGGCCAAGUGGUCUCAGGCGCCAGACUCAAGGAUAAUAUCCUUACCAGAACAAUGAGUAUUCUGGUCCACAAAUGUGGGUGGGGGUUCAAAUCCCACUUCUGACA